CUUAGUUGAUGAUAUGGAAGUUGAACUAACCAAGCCUAUGAAGGAUUUUGGAGGUGAAGAACAAGACAUUUUUAUUUUGGAGUUUGUCAUGCUAAAAUGACAAAAUGACAUCCCUCACUUGAAGGCCAAAAAGUGCAAAAUGCGAUACCCGAGGGUUGGCCUCUUUUCUUUUGUACCACCGCCCCAAGAGCAUAACCGAAAACUUGAUUUAAAGUUGGGGAAUCAAUUCAUAUCCUCAAAGUGGAGGGAAAAGUGGUAAAGUUAAUUCAUGUCAUGCCAUAACGUAAAAUAUGGCGCUUUAUGGGACGCAACCCAUAUUUCCUUUAUUUUUCAAAAGUUUAUUUUUUAUUUUUUUAUUUUUUUAAUCAAUUUGCCAAAUUUCACAUUUUCUGGAAUCAGUUUGGACAGUUCAGGAAUUUGUAGCAGUUUACACAACAGUGAAAAAUAAUAUUACUAGUGGUGGGAGUUGAUUUUAUAAGCAUUGCAGGGAAUUAGCAUAUACUCAACUUUGGGCAUUUGGGUUAAGUCACAAGGCCCACAAGGCUACAGGUAAGUAAACUUUUAAAGACUUAACUCCCAGGCCCCUCCUCUUACUCCCUGUCAACACAUAACUCCCAGGCCCCUCCUCUUAUUCCCUCUCAAAACAUAUAAUUCUAUGCAACUCCCUUCUCCCUAAUAUUCUUCAAUCACUGAACCACCACCGGCAGUCCACCUGCCGCAUCCUGUGGUAGCAUUGUUCUUGUGGCUCGACAAGUCCUGAAUGUGAUGGCAUGGAUCGAUUUUAACUUUCAAAGCUUUAAACCAUGAUUACAGAGGUGCUAAACUGGCAUAGUGAACAAACACUUCAGCUGGUACUUUUUGAUAUAGGAUGACUUCUAGUCUAUCCGAGAAAGCUCAAGGAGGCGCGGAACAAUUUUCUCACCCUUAUGCUCGAGCUUCAUGACACCAUCUUUUCAGGGAGUCCCUUCUAACUUGAGCUUUAUUUUAUUUAGUUACGUUGAGGACAAUGCAACAUUUUUAGUGGGGGUGACUCAUUUAUUUGUAAUGAUGUAUGGUGAUAUGGUUGGCGGACUUGAUGGAUUUGGUAGAUUAACUUUUAGUUUUGUUAUUUUUGUUUUUGUGUCAUGUUUAUUUUAGUAUGAUUUGUUUUUCAUUACUAGCUUCUUCAGUUUUUUUUUUGCUAGUUAAUUUUUUUUAGUAGAAAUAUCCUUAGCUUUUCUUUGUGCCGCGGUUCUUUUUCCGAGGAGGCUAAUUUUCUUUUGAACUGGGUGUUUUUGGGUAGAUUUUGUGGUGUGAGUUGUGAUGUUUGCUCCUCCGUCAUUUUGUGGUUUGCUUGGUACCAACAUGAUUUAAACCAUGGCAUAUGAGUUCUUGAAUUUUUUUUUUUAUUAAAAUGAUAAUUCUUGUUCUGACCUUUAGACGCAAUUCUUGGCUCUUUCUUUCACUAAUUAGUCUAUUUAGAUUAAAAGUGACUUUUUGAGUUCAUUUGUUUCAAUUGAUUUUGGAGACAUCUUCUACAUGAGUUUCAUAUGCCAUGUGUGGUGAGGUUUAUUUGUGAGUUCUUUUGCAUUAUUUUUGGUCUAGAACUUGCCCGGAAUGUGUUUCACGGCGAAAUUCUACACUAACUUGGUUUGAAAAAAUGAUGUUAGGCCUUCCUUGGACCAUUUUUGUGACUUAAAUUUCCUACCCUUGCAUAUUUUCCCAAGUCAAUCCCUUUGAGCCUUUAACCUUUUCUUUGACAAGCAUGUUACAAGCUUUACCUUUUUGUUCUUCAAUGGUUCUAUCUUUUGGCACCCUAUCUCCCUAAGUGCUUUAAAAGUGAAAAUAUAGGCGAAAAGCCUAAGUUUGGGGGUGUGGUUGGAAAAAGUUGCGAUGCGGGAGUUGCUUGAAAGGUGAAUAGGUGAAAAAAAAAAGAGGAAAAAAAAGUGAAACCUUCCUUUUUUUUUAAAACAAAAAAACAACAAAAGGAAUGAAGAAAAGGAAGGAAGAAUAAAGAGUUGUGAAUAAUGGAAGACUAGGUGUUUAAAAAAAAAAGAGAUGAAGCAAAGGUUGAUAAAGUCUUGAAAGGAAGUGUGCUUUGAAUUAUUGCAAUUGGUAGUGCUUAUGGAGGUUUUGAGUCACUAUUUUCAAAUUAUGCCCCUACCUUAACCCAAAGCCUACAUGACAACCCUUUAAGUCCUAAUUAAUUUUGAACCAAGUGUGUGUACAUUUGUGGAGAAAUACAUGAAGGGCAAGCCUAUGGUUCUACGUGUAUGAAAUUAAACAUCUUUGUGAGAGAGAGUUAAUUUUUUCUAUUUGAUAUCUCAUUUGUGUUUUGAAUACAUUUUCUAAGUGUGGAUUCUCUCUUGAGUGUGAAGGCACAAGAGAAUUUGAGUUGUGAAUUUUUUCCAUUUUUCAAUUGAGAGAAAUGAACAAAAGAAAGUUGUUUUGUGAUAAUGAGGCAAAUUUUGAAGCUUUAGUGUCAUGACUUGAUUGCUACUUUGAUUAACUUGGUGUUUGAGCACUUGAAAUGAAAAUGAAGUUUUUGGGAAGAAGUUGGUGAUUCAUAUGUUGUGGAUUAAUUGUUGGCACCAAUCAACGUCACGUGUUUAUGCUUAAAGUAGACUUUUUGACUUGAUAUGAUGUUGUCGCACUUUUGAAUUUAGUCCUUUGAAGGAAAUUGUAUGUUUUGAUUUGCUUGAGGACAAGAAAAGGUUUAAGUUUGGGGGUUUGAUAAGUUGGUAGUUUUACCAACUUAUCUCUUCUUUAUGCUUAUAAUUUUGUUAUGUUUGAUUGAAAAAAUAGUGCAUUUACUAUGGUUUGCUUAGGUUUAUAUGGUUGACAAUAGCUGUGGAAGAAACCAAGUGAAAAACAAGUCAAAAAGAGACCAAAUUGUCGAAAAUGAAAAAAGUGGCUAAAAAUGGCCAGAAAUACAAAUUCGAAAAUCUAGAAAAUGUGGAGGUUGUUUUUGUCAUUUUUCGUGAGAAAAUUGGGGGAACUACAAAAGCAAGACAUGGAGACAUUAUUUUCAUCUUUGGCCAUAUUUCCAAGCCUUGGAAGCUAGGUUCUUCGACCAACACUUUGGAAGAGAAGAUUGGAGCACCUUAAUGAGCAAACUCUUAAUACUUUCUUCAAUUCCUUGUUAUGUAUUGCAUAUUUAAGUGUGUUGUAUUUAUUCUCUCACUUGAAUCUUGUUUAUAACAAUAUUCAUUAUCAAGUGUAGAAUUAAAUCUCUUGUUUUGCUUAUGUAUUGAACAAUUCAUAUUGCUAAUGAAGUGGAUUUUUGUUUUUUUAA